GAUGACCUCGCAGCUACCCACCAUGAGAGACUGGACCAGAUCAGCCCUCAGCUCAUCCAGGCCAAGAAACUGCUGCAGGAUAUCAGUGAGCCCCGCUGCAAGUGUCUGGAGGAGCUGGCCCUGCAGAAGGAGCUGGUCAGCUGGCUGCAGGAGGCUCUGGGAGGCAUCACCGAGCUCCAGGUAUUUGUGGACCUGGCCUCCAUCUCAGCUGGAGAGAGCGACAUUGACGUGGACCGGGUGGCCUGCUUCCACGAUGCUGUGCAGGGCUAUGCGUCCCUGCUGUAUAAGCUGGACAAGAAGGCAGGCUUCAGCGAGUUCAUGGAACAGUUGAGAGAACUCUGGAAGGCUCUGCAAAAUGACUCCCAUCUGCCCCGUAAAUUGCGAGAUUCUGCCAGAAACUUGGAGUGGCUGAAAACAGUGAAGGAAAGCCAUGGGUCCAUUGAGCUCUCAUCCCUGUCCCUGGCCACAGCAAUCAACAGCAGAGGCAUCUAUGAGAUCAGGGCACCCACAGGUGACCAGAAGGUGAGCCCUCCCAGAUUUCAGGUGCAGUGUUGGUGGCAUGCACUGGCCUGCUGCAGAGUCAGGGUUUCAGCCACCAGAAAAUGGCUUCUGAACAUGUUUUGCCUCCCAGAUCUCCCCAGAUGCCAUCCUGAGCCUGAUCCUCCCUGGGGGUCACAGUGGCCUGGAGUCAGAUCGCACCUACACUUUGGAAGAGCUAAAGGAUCUUUUAAACAAGCUGAUGCUGAUGUCUGGCAAGAAAGACCAUAAGAGUAUGGAAGUGGAGAGGUUUUCUGAGUUAUUCUGCUAUGUGCAGCGGCUCAUGCAAGCCUUCCUUAACCUGUACUCUGCGGGAAACAUGCUGUUCAGGACCUGGACUGCCGAAGUCUACUGCUGCCCCAGGAAUGGCGUCUCCAUCUGCAUGGACUUCCACUUGGAGUUGGUAAGCCAGCUGACAGAGAGUGGGGACGUCACCCAGCUCCUGGAAGCCCUCUGCAGGCAGAUGGAACACUUCCUGGAUGACUGGAAGGAGCUGGUGAGCAGGAAGCGCAGAGAACACUUCUACCUCAACUUCUACACGGCCGAGCAACUGGUCUACCUGAGCACUGAGCUCAGGAAGCAGAGUCCCAGUGAAGCUGCCCUCAUGAUGCUGUCCUUCAUCAAAGACAACUGCACCCCAGCUGACAUCUUAAGGUCCACCGAGGGGUUCAAUGAGGCCACGAAACAUCUUGUGAGGACAGUGAUAGAAAAAUUACCUCCAUUGCAAUCCGCUGAGAUCAGUCUGAUGACCAAGCUGUGGGCCAUCAUGGAACAAUCCCUGGAGUGCAUGAGUGUCUUUCUGCCUGGCUGCCUGGACCUUGAGGCCCUGGGCCAUUGUCUGGCUCACCUGGCCAGGAUGGGCAGGCCUCCUGUGAAACGGUCUCUCCCUGUGGGCCUUCAGGCUGGCCAGCCCAACCUGGUUAUGUGUGGCCACUCCGAGGUGCUGUUGGCUGCCCUGGCCAUCUACAUGCAGGCCCCAGGCCAGCCCCUGCCCACCUUUGAUGAGGUGCUACUCUGCACCCCGGGAACCACAUUUGAGGAGGUGGCCCUGUUCCUGCACCGCUGCCUGGCCCCAGUUUCCCAGGGGAAUAAGGUCUACAGCCUGCUACUUGCAGACCAGCUGAGCUACAAGGUGGCCUGCAAGACAGAGGCCCUCUUCCGCAGCCUGUCCACACAGUGUCCCCGGGAGGACUACCAGCUGGUGCUGGUCUGUGAUGCAGCACGGGAGUGGUGCUACCUGCCCUCAGCCUUUAGCCAGUACAAAGUCCACCUCAUCCCAAAGGCACCCCUCCAUGCCAUCCAGGCCUACCUGGCACAUCACUACCAGGUCCCAGCACAGACCCUGUCAGCGGCAGCUGUCUUCAGAGACCAGAUGUGUGUGGGGAUCGUGGCUUCGGAGAGAGCAGGAGUUGGGAAAUCUCUCUAUGUGAAGAGAUUGCAUGAAAAGCUGAAAAAGAAGUUAAACAGUGAAAAAGUGCCUUUAAAGAUUGUUCGGUUGACUGAUGCUCAGGUGGAUGAGUGCCACAUCCUGGACUCCCUCCUAUCUUUCUGGGAUGCUCAGUAUCGGACAAUGCCUAUGAUAUUCCACUUUGAUGUAACU
rnacentral:lncRNA from 1 species